GUGUUCAAUGGUUUCUUCUCCAAGUUUACAAAAAGUACAUAACUUGGUAUCUUUUAAUUUGAUUUUGUACAAAAAGGUAUUAGUUGCUAUAAUUCUAUGCAAAAAUUUAUAUUGAAAGGUUCUUAAAUAAGCAUCUCUACAAGACUUUUUUGUUAUCAUGAAAUACUCUGACCAUUCUGUAGUAUCAAUAACUAACAGCUCUGCCCAUUUCAAAAAUUUAAUUGUUGGUAGUUGAAUAACUUCAUCUACUAAGUUUUUAUAUACAAAUUUGGCUUUCACAUUACACCUGAUUUUUUUUAAGAAAGUAUCACCAGUGUUAGACUUAUCUAAAUCUUGAUUUAGACAGUUAUCUUUAAGGCAUUUUUUCAUAGCGUUAGGGAUUUUUGAUAUCAAACCAUAAUAUUUAAUAAAAUUGUUGGUUUGUACUUUUUCUUGAAAUUGCUCAAAUUUAUAAAAAAUCAUAUUUUCACGAUUAAUAAGGUCACUUACUGACUGCACACCCCCCUUUUCCCAUUGAAUGUAAUAUGGGAAAUCAUCCAAAGAAGAAAAGUUCAAAAUAUCUAAGGAUAAAAUGUCACUGACAGAAAUCUCAGUAAUAGGUUUUGCAGCGGAAAAGCAUAGUAAAACAUCCUUCCAGAAAGAAUUUUUACAUCUUUUAGCAAUCUCAAUCAGCUUUUCUUUCUGAAGAUUUAAAACCCUUUCACCCCCAUACUGCAUAAGGUCUGCCAGUAACAACUGCUGCCAGCCACCGCUAGGGUUUGCCAGCAGUCUUUUUAUCCAACUAAUUUUCAAAUAGAUAUUAAAUGAAUGAAGAUGUACCAUAUUAAGUCCACCUUGUGAAAUAUUACCAACAAGUGUGUUUCGCUUAAUUCUGUCUGGUUUUCCAUUCCAUAUGAAAUCAUAAAAUAAUGAAGUGAGCUCUGUUAACCUGGAGUGUGAUAGGUUUGGUAAUGCAGUCAAUAAAUGGACCAACUUUGAAAGAGCAAGUGAUUUAAUUACUGUAAUUUUUCCUAAUAAUGUGAGUUUUCGAUGUUGCCAGCUCUUCAGAAUUGCAGAGACCUCUUUAAUUUUCUUAGCAAAAUUAAUUUCUGUGAUACAGCUUAAAUCUAAAGAAAAUUCAAUCCCCAAAAGUUUAAAAUUUGAAUGUGACCAAUGAAGUUUUAAGUCUGGACAUAAAAUAAGAUCAGAAUAUUUUUUACUUCCAACCCAUAGUGCUUUUGUCUUUGAAGCAUUUAUUUUCAAACCUGAAAUUUUAUAAAAAGAUUCAAAACAUGAAAGUGUUUCCCUCAACGAUAUUUCCCUUCCAUCUAACAUAAGGAAUGUGUCAUCUGCGUACAUGCUUAAAAGUGAUUCAUCAUCAUUGAUAGUAAUUCCCCUUAUGUCAGGAUUACCUUUUAAUUUCAAAGAUAAUAAUUCAACCCCAAUUAUAAAUAAAUAGGGAGAAAGAGGAUCUCCUUGUCUGCAACCUCUUUCUAAAUGAAAAAACUUAGACAUGUGUCCAUUAUUUAUAACACAACUUGAUGCCCCUGAGUAUAAAGUUUCAAACCAUCUACAUAAAGAAGGCCCAAAAUUAAAGCUUUUCAAAGUAUUUUUAAAAAUAACCAUUCCAAGGAAUCAAAUGCCUUUUCAAAAUCAACAAGUAAUAAAAGACCUGUCUUAUUAUUUUCCUCAAGAUAGUGCAUCAAAUCAUAUAAAAGGCGUGUGUUCUCACCCAUAAAUCUGUCUUUAAUGAAACCUUUUUGUGUGUCACUUAUGAUAAAUGGUAAAACGGGUUUAAGUCUAUUAGCUAUAACAGCAGAAGCUAUUUUCAUAUCAGUAUUCAAAAGACUAAUAGGACGCCAGUUACUAAUAUACUGUCUGUCUUUUCCCUCUUUAGGAAUGCAAGUUAUUAUACUUUGAUACUGAAAAUCAGAAAAUUUACCCCCCGCAUAUCCAAAGUGAAGAGAUCGAAAGACAAAAGGGCCAAUAUCUUUCCAAAAAAAUUUAUAAAAAUCUACAGAAUACCCAUCAGAACCAGGACUUUUACCAUUUGUCAUAAAUUUUAAAGAUUCAGCACAUUCUUUAAAAGUUAAAUUUCCUUCACAAAGAUCACUUUGUUCUUCUGUAAGCUUAAUGUUAUGAUUAAAAAAUGAUGUAUCAUUGCAAUCUAAUUUUUUGCUUGAGUACAAAUUUUUAUAAAAAUUUUGUU
rnacentral:lncRNA from 1 species